CGAGCGGCUGGGGUUCGGGGGUCUGGCGGGCCUAUCGCGCCCGACGGCAAUUGACCAAUCGCCCUUCAGCUCGGCGUUUGGUCAAAUAUCUGCGGGAUUACAUGGUAUGUUCGAGGCGGCGUCUAAGCAGCCCCGGAUUGAGGAAGAGCUCAGGGGAGAAAUCGGAGGUCUCCAGAGGGAGUUGGCGGAGGCCAAGGAGAGACUGGCGGAGGUCGAGCGGGGACUGGUCAAGGCGGAGUGUGAUUAUGCGGACGCUCGUGGCAAGCUUAAUGCGGCUAUCCGGCGGGAUCUGGAGAGGAAUGAGCGCGUCUCCAAGUUGGAGCAGGAGAUCGCGCUACUGCAGGAGCGGAUAGCCGCU
rnacentral:lncRNA from 1 species